GGGCUUCCGGCGGCAGCACAUACACUAAAAUUGAAGCCGUCCAGGGAAGAUUAGCGUGCCCCUGGGCAGGAUGGCACACAAACCCAUGAAACGUCCAUGUUUUUC
ensembl:snRNA U6 U6 spliceosomal RNA